rnacentral:rRNA from 1 species
CCUACGGGAGGCAGCAGUGGGGAAUAUUGCACAAUGGGCGAAAGCCUGAUGCAGCGACGCCGCGUGUGUGAAGAAGUCUUUCGGUAUGUAAAGCUCUAUCAGCAGGGACGAAGGUGUCAAUGCCUAUCACCUAAUCAAUUGACGAUUCCGACCCAACAAGCACCGGCUAACUUCGUGCCAGCAGCCGCGGUAAUACGGAGGGUGCAAGCGUUAACCGGAAUUAUUGGGCGUAAAGGGAACGCAGACGGUUGUGUAAGCCAGGAGUGAAAGCCCGGGGCUUAACCCGUGAAUUGCAUGGGAAACUGGGCAACUAGAGUACUGGAGAGGGAGGUGGAAUUCCAGGUGUAGCGGUGAAAUGCGUAGAGAUGAGGAGGAACACCGGUGGCGAAGGCGGCACCCUGGACUGAAACUGACGCUGAGGUUCGAAAGCGUGGGGAGCAAACAGGAUUAGAUACCCGUGUAGUC